GGGCGGGGUUGGCAGCAUCGAGGGUUGCUAUUCUUCGGUACCCCCGUUGGACUCGGGGGCUCGCUCA
rnacentral:tRNA from 1 species